CGGCGAGAGGGCGUGGACUGUUCGCUCCGCCUUCGCGGGCUCCGGAACCGGGAAGGAGGAGAGCGCCUGCCCCGCGGCCAACCGGGCCUUGCACCCAGACUUUAAAUUCCGGAGAUGUCACCCAGAGGAUCAUGGCUUUACUUUGUUUUAAAGUCAGCUGGGAGGCCAAAAGAAGAUAUAUUACCUAGUCGUAGAAACCGCCGCCGCUGCGGAGAAGCAGCUUAGCCUAGGAAAAUAUACUAGGUAUGAUUUCAAAAAGAAGAAGGAGAAGGAGAAGGAGGAGGAGGAGGAGGAGGAGGAAGAGGAGAAGAAGAAGAAGAAGAAGAAGAAGAAGAAGAAGAAGAAGAAGAAGAAGAAGAAGAAGAAGAAGAAGAAAGAAGAAGAAGAAGAAGGAGAAAGAAGAAGAAGGAGAAAGAAGAAGGAGAAAGAAGAAGAAGGAGAAAGAAGAAGGAGAAAGAAGAAGAAGGAGAAAGAAGAAGAAGGAGAAAGAAGAAGAAGGAGAAAGAAGAAGAAGGAGAAAGAAGAAGGAGAAAGAAGAAAGAAGAAGAAGGAGAAAGAAGAAGAAGGAGAAAGAAGAAGAAGGAGAAGAAGAAGAAAAUACAGCUCUAUGAUUAAUAAUAAUCGCACGUUCUGCGCCGACAAAGAACGCCUCUCUUCUGCCCUGUGUUCUGUAAGACCAUCCUUCAUGAAAGCAAUUCUAGGAUAAGUGCACUUUGCUUUAGACACCCUGAGACACCGGACUCUCCUUGGUAUCCACCACCUGCGUCGCAACUUCAUCCACACAGCGGAAAGCAGAGUGCAGAAGGUUUGCCUUCGACUCCAUCCAAAAGGAUUCACUCAAAAGCCACAGCAUACGGAUCAGAAACAGCGAUGAAGUAGCCCUGCUUGCUGAGUUCAUCCACUGCCACUUUUUCAAGGCUCCAUUGAAAGACCUGGGUUCUUGGUGCACAGAGAUGCGUUUCUAGGCUACAGGAUUCACCUGGAAGUUUUUGCAAAUUGUUGGAACUCCCCCCAAAUUUUUCCAAUGUACUUAUGGAAAAAAAAAUCCACGUGUAAGUGGACUGCAGUUCAAGCCCAUGUCGUUCACAGGUCAAGUGUACUUGGCUGAGGAAUCUGCAAAUGAGCAACUGUGAAUGAACUGUACAGAGACAGCAAGAAUCCCAGCGGAGAAAGCCAAUCUUCUGGGCAGCGGCUGGCUGGCACCCGGGCAAGGCAGCUGGUGUGAGAUCACCGCGCAUCGGGCCACGUACAGCUUCUCAGCGCCGGCACAUCUGGUCCGUGGCCAACAUCCGAGAGGUGCCAGCAAUGCUAAGAAACCUCUGCGGAAAAGAGCCUCAAACCCACUGAUCUUGAAAAGAGGAGAAAAAAGAAAGGCUUCACGUUGAAGACAGAACUACAAACGUAAAGGCAACCGGUUUGCCUACCGACAUCACAGUGGAGGCCUUUAUACAGCUUCUAACUUGGCAUGAUUAUGAAUUCCCCGGACAGAAUUUAUGGUCAAGUUUUACAAAGAUAAACCAAGGGAAUCUUAAAGCAGAUGGGCUUUGCAGUUAUUUGAAGAGGGACUCUGGAAUGUGCAAUAAUGCUUUUGGAUGAAGAUCAAAUUAGAAGCUAGAAAUCGCAUAGUGAGGGAGCUCAGUUUCAACGGGAGGGGAAGAGGGGGCAUCAGCAAGGAAGAGGUGCGAGGACCACAGGUAGGGGCUGGCUCUGUAAUAAAAGCAGUUGGACUGUUGGAAUGCUUGUGGAAUGCCCCAAGGGGGAGUGCUCAUCACCAAAAUGUUUCAUCCCAUGGAUUUUGAGCUGGUGCUGAUCAAGGUCAGAGAAAACCUUGGAGACUGUUCAAAGCUUGGGCCAGUCACGAAGCUCCUUCUCUUGGAGAGACACCCAGAUGUCUUGAGGAAACUAUCUGUGUACUCAAACCUUCGAUGGAAGGUGUUUGGUGGCCAUCGAUUCCCUGUCAAAACAUGGGAUGGGACUACAGAUAGCCAGGCUGAGAAGACCCCAAGAGUGAGGGAGGAACGGCUGAGAGAAGGGAAGUCUUUCUUCAGUGUCCCGAGGCCAAUGGAGGUGUUCUGUGUUCAACUUCCAUCUUUGCUCCAAAAGGCGAGGCUUUCUAAAGUAAGGCAUUUCCAGAGCACUCGAGCACAUCUAGGAUGAAUGCUCUAGAAGCCACAACUAACAUGGCAUGUAAAGAAUCUAGACGUGGAAAGAUAUUCAAAAAAUGAGAAGAUGGGGAGAUUUUGAAGAUGCUUCUGAAAAAAAUGCUAAAGAACAUGGUCCCAAAAGAAUCUGAAGAAGGCAGUUCCAAAAGUGAUGAGAACAGUCUCGAAAUACCUCAAAAAAGACUCCGAAGAAAAUGGCUUUGAAAAAAGUCUGAAGGUGACCCUGAAAAUCUGAAAAGGAAGACGUCUUGAAAAGAGAAUCGGAGGAUUGCUCUGAAAAGGACUUUGAAGAGGGCUCCAAAAAAAUAACUAGAGGAAAACGGUGUUGAGAAAAAAGAGGAAGGAACGGUCCUGAAAGCUGAGCAUCUGGGGAUGGCGGCUCUGAGGGAGUGUCUGGUGGGGAAGGCCGUGGGGAUUCAGAUGAGGAGGAAGGAGAUGCACACAGGGAAGUGUGUGAUGAUGCAGCAGGUAGAAAACAGGAGAAAGAAGAGGCAGAUGGAAAAGGGUUUGGAGAUGCUGAGGAAGAGGGAGGCGGCGGCGGAGCAGGGGACAGGCUGCUCAAGGAUGAGGGUGCCAGCUCGAAGGAGUGUGAUGAGCAGAGUCCGGGGACAAGCUGUGCGGCCAGUCCGACAAGGGGACUAUGGGUGGCACUGGGGACGUUAAGGAAGGACGGCCCCUGUGCACAGGCAGUGGCUCCAUCCUCGGAAGUGAUGGGGAGGAGGAGGAGGAGAUUUAAUCUCUUAAACCUGAUUUCAGGGAGACCCCCUCCUGCUACAGGCACCUUCACUCAGGGUAAUUAUUAGUAGUGUCACGUGAACGCAUCAGAGUGGCGCUGGGAGACUUUCACGGUAACCCCCAUGCAGUGACUUUACAAAUGGGUUAACUUCAAAGCCAUCAUGCAUGCACGUACAAAAAAAAAAAAAAAAAAAGAGAGAGAGAUGGAAGAAAAAAGUCCAAACACAGCACUACAACAGUGGCUAUCAAAUAUUCAACCUUCCUACGAAAAAACAGGAAUUCCCAAGUUGAGUUAUGAAAUAAAACAAAAGGAAAAAACUAUGCCACGCCAGGAGGACUGUUUGAGAACAAGAUACCCACAAAGGUUGAACAUAGGGAGAUGGAA